rnacentral:lncRNA from 1 species
CGGCUGCUCGGCAGCGUCCGCGACGACGACCCACAACUUGCUCGAUCUGGCAGCCUGGGAGGCUAGGACUGGGUAGACCGGUGGGUCCAUGUUUUGGCAAGUGGAGUAGACUAGCCAAAUUUGGCCAGUGAGGGAAGGCAUUUAGCACCCAUUUAGCUUGGAGAGCGGGAUGAAGAGGCUGUUGGAAUGUGUUUUUUUUUUGCUCAAAAUGGCUAAAUUGUGGCUUAAGGAGUGGGAUGGGAGAGCUGUUGGAGAUGCUCUAAGAGCGUGAGUCAAAUGUUUGAGUGUUGCUAUCAAUAUGGGGUUUUACUCUACCAAUAUAGAAUGAUAAUAUGAAUAUGUUGUAGCAGGGUCAGAGACAAACCUAGGACCAGGGUUACCGUGGUAACCGUGCCCUCCGCAGAGGCACAACUUCGGUAAGCCGCGGUAACCGAGUUUAAAUU